GAUGAACGCUGGCGGCGUGCCUAAUACAUGCAAGUCGAGCGAACGGACGAGAAGCUUGCUUCUCUGAUGUUAGCGGCGGACGGGUGAGUAACACGUGGAUAACCUACCUAUAAGACUGGGAUAACUUCGGGAAACCGGAGCUAAUACCGGAUAAUAUUUUGAACCGCAUGGUUCAAAAGUGAAAGACGGUCUUGCUGUCACUUAUAGAUGGAUCCGCGCUGCAUUAGCUAGUUGGUAAGGUAACGGCUUACCAAGGCAACGAUGCAUAGCCAACCUGAGAGGGUGAUCGGCCACACUGGAACUGAGACACGGUCCAGACUCCUACGGGAGGCAGCAGUAGGGAAUCUUCCGCAAUGGGCGAAAGCCUGACGGAGCAACGCCGCGUGAGUGAUGAAGGUCUUCGGAUCGUAAAACUCUGUUAUUAGGGAAGAACAUAUGUGUAAGUAACUGUGCACAUCUUGACGGUACCUAAUCAGAAAGCCACGGCUGACUACGUG
rnacentral:rRNA from 1 species